ACAACUUUCACAACACAACCAUUCAAUGCUAAGGCUUCCCCGUCUGCGCAGGGUUCCAUACUUCGCCCUUUAACAACACAACCAUUCAAUGCUAAGGCUUCCCCGUCUGCGCAGGGUUCCAUACUUCGCCCUUUAACAACACAACCGUUCAAUGCUAAGGCUUCCCCGUCUGCGCAGGGUUCCAUACUUUGCACUUUAACAACACAACCAUUCAAUGCUAAGGCUUCCCCGUCUGCGCAGGGUUCCAUACUUUGCACUUUAACAACACAAACGUUCAAUGCUAAAGCUUCCCCGUCCGCGCAGGGUUCCAUACUUUGCACUUUAACAACACAACCAUUCAAUGCUAAGGCUUCCCCGUCUGCGCAGGGUUCCAUACUUUGCACUUUAACAACACAAACGUUCAAUGCUCAGGCUUCCCCGUCUGCGCAGGGUUCCAUACUUCGCCCUUUAACAACACAACCAUUCAAUGCUAAAGCUUCCCCGUCUGCGCAGGGUUCCAUACUUUGCACUUUAACAACACAACCGUUCAAUGCUAAGGCUUCCCCGUCUGCGCAGGGUUCCAUACUUCACCCUUUAACAACACAACCGUUCAAUGCUAAGGCUUCCCCGUCUGCGCAGGGUUCCAUACUUCACCCUUUAACAACACAACCGUCCAAUGCUAAGGCUUCCCCGUCUGCGCAGGGUUCCAUACUUUGCACUUUAACAACACAACCGUUCAAUGCUAAGGCUUCCCCGUCUGCGCAGGGUUCCAUACUUUGCACUUUAACAACACAACCGUUCAAUGCUAAGGCUUCCCCGUCUGCGCAGGGCUCCAUACUUCACACUUUAACAACACAACUCCCCAGUCUCUUUCACAGCAAAACAACAUUGCUCCGUCAAAGAAAGAAGGCAAGACAACAGAAGGCCGUCGGAUGCCGCAGUUCAGUCUUUAUUAACCAACAGCACAGAAGCAGCAUUAGCGUUGUGCAAAAGAGCCGCCAUUCGAGAUGCAGGGAAGGUGGGAGCCAUGAAACAAACCAAGUCAAUGAUAUACGUGGAGCAUGA
rnacentral:lncRNA from 1 species